ensembl:snRNA U6 U6 spliceosomal RNA
UUCUUCUCAUAAAAACUAGCAAAGUCAAACGAUACAGAGAAGAUUAGCAUGGCCCCUGAGCAAGGAUGACACACAAAUUCGGGAAGCAUUCCAUAUUUUU